UUGUGGAGCCCAUUAAUCAGUCAGGUCCGUUUCAAUGAUCAUUGCACUACAAAUUUUAAAAUGUUCAAGGUCGAGGCGCAAGGUGGAGAUGGCCGAGUUGGUCUAAGGCGCCAGAUUAAGGUUCUGGUCCGAAAGGGCGUGGGUUCAAAUCCCACUCUCCACAAUUUGUUACUUUUUUACUUCUUAAAUGAUCUUCCAUUCUCAUAAAAUUAGCAGUGCUCAACUAAGAACGCAACAGGCUGGCCCAAAGACCGUUAGGUUUAUACUAGGAUUCAAACAUAAACUCCCGCGAAAGUAAAUCCGAGGAACAUUUGUCAUAAUACACACACACCAAGAAGUAAAAUCUUUGAAGGGGUUUUACAUGGAAGACAUGAGAAAUGGAUGUGUUUCUCCAUCUUCAUCUCCGCUAGCACCACCAUCACCUCUCCCCAUUAGUGUAGGACCUGGCAACCAAAAGUAAUUCUUCUCGCCCUCUCCUUCUCCAUCGCCACCCUUUUCACCGCCUCUUUCAAGCCACGCAUCCGUAGAAAACCUCCCACUUUUGUCUCAAGAAUUUACUACUCCUGCAACUUCCGUCUCCAUUUUCAUUGGACCGUCCGCAUCCUGAUCAAAUGGAUCCUACGAGCUCAUGCCUUCAAGACCUACCAACCAGUCAAAGGCACUGCCAGGCUGCCCAUCUAUGACUACCGGCAGGCAUAAUGCUAGAAUGGUUUGUAAAGAAAUGCUGCAACUGCUGUUCCAAGUUUCUCUGAAUCUAUAUUAUCAAAUAACCACAAAGACGCAGAAGAACUCGCAAUCCAUUACUCUCCCCUGUUGUCCCUGAGAACAGGCAUUCUCUCCUACUAACAGAAUUGAUGACUCGAUUCAGAUUCAAGUCCUGAAAUGCCAUUUGACAAGGUGCAGAAACGAACAAUAGUAAUAAAAUUUUAUACAACAGCAUCGUAACUUCCUUAAUAUCCAUCAGCCUCAAGACCAUUUUUUUAGUUGAGUUGAGUAUCGAAUUGAAACGGAGAAAGAGGAGGGGCAGUUGUAUCCACUUUUUGAUUCACAGUUCAUUUUCAAUUUUUUUUUUUAGUAGAAUUAGCCUUAGCAGAGGCUAGUGAAAAUUGCACCAUUGUUGAAACAUUGAAUCCGAUUGGACAUAAUUACCUACUAAAGUUGGCAACCAA